ACGGCAGCUCCACCGAGGAGAAAACCACCGCUCCGAAUAUGAGAUACAGAAUAUAGCCGAGCACGAGAAACAGAAAAUACCAUGCCGAUUUGUUGCUCUGUAUCAAGCGCACGCACGAAUUACCGGCUGCUCCGAAUGCAGCGCGGAGGAGAUGGGGCUCAGCUCGGGGACGUGACGUCACCGAUAACUCGCCCACCAGGUAACGUCAAGAGAGGAAAGAUCAUCGACUGUCUGUGCCGAGUUUAACAUCCUCCUACUUGAAUCAUGAUGGCAGCCUCAGACAGAAGAGGGGUACAGAUGCUAAAAAUAGAGGCUGUUCUACUGGGAAUUUAAACCUUAUGAGAAGUAAGAUGUUAUGCAGGAGGUUGAUUGCAAAAGUUUUUUUGUUUUUUUUGCUGCUCGCACAAUGCGUAAAUGAUCUAUUUGCUUAAAGCAGGGAAAAUGUGUGUGUUACAGGACCAUAACCAGACUUUGACUAGGACAAAUCUCUCUAGUAUUCAGAUAAGAAAUCAGUCAGUAUGGAUUUUACAGUGAAUUUAAACUACAGUAGACUGCAGCAGUGUUUCUUUGCAAUAAAGUAUCCAUACACUGUCUACCUAAAUAAUAAACAGGUGUACACUAAGACAACAUUAUCAAUCCUAGAAUCCAUAAUGUCAAGUCAUUAUAACUUCCAAAAAAAAAAAAAAAAAAUUACCAAAUAAACAGACAUAUUGUGUUCACACAUGUAUGAAACAUAUGUUUUAUCAUUUAGAAAUUCCUGCAAAUUGUGGCUUUUUUUCAGAGCAAUGGAGUCUGAGAUCACAUGAUUAUGUGUUAAUGAAGCAUUCUUAUGAUUUGUUGUUGACAGGUUUUCAGG